UUAUGGUGGAGACUAGAUUAUUUCGAGAAAAGAGGAAUUAUAACAUGUACCCGUUUUGGUUAUGUUUUGGUACCUGAACCGGAAUGAAAGCUGUUGGUUUUAGUACCAAAUUGCUCUUGGGCAUUGAUUAAUCUAAAAACUACAUAAAUCCGUAUCUGCCUCUUUUGUAUGUUUAGGCUCAAGCCCAUGGAAUGCUGACCAAUUAUCUGUGAAUGGAAAUUAUUUGGCAAAGCUUAAACUGACCAAAUGUCCUGGUGAUGAGAAAACACUUUUUAAAAAAUUUAACAAAAAAGGUAUACGAGUAACUUCUAUAGAAGUCCUAUUUACGCUCUUGAAAUUCCUGAAAAUGGCAAUGUAUACCCUAAUACACUGAGACCAAGGCUAUGAGCUAUUGCGUGACUGCCAAAAAAAAGAGUGCAAUCCCAAAUUUUAUGGAAGCAUUAUCUAAGCUCUGUGGAAUUCCAGCUGAUUACAAGAUUGUAGCUUGCAUCCAUCAACAUCAGUUACACCAACUUUACAACGAAAGCAGCAUUUUUCAAAUUAGCAAACAUGGUGUUAGGUGCGCCAAGUAUUGAUUACACUACGGAUCUGGUCAAUUAA